UUGCCCUAGUAACGGCGAGUGAAGCGGCAACAGCUCAAAUUUGAAAUCUGGCUUCGGCCCGAGUUGUAAUUUGUAGAGGAUGCUUUGGGCGCGGCUCUAACUGAGUUCCCUGGAACGGGACGCCACAGAGGGUGAGAGCCCCGUAUAGUUAGAUGCCUAGCCUAUGUAAAGCUCCUUCGACGAGUCGAGUAGUUUGGGAAUGCUGCUCUAAAUGGGAGGUAAAUUUCUUCUAAAGCUAAAUAUUGGCCAGAGACCGAUAGCGCACAAGUAGAGUGAUCGAAAGAUGAAAAGCACUUUGAAAAGAGGGUUAAAUAGCACGUGAAAUUGUUGAAAGGGAAGCGCUUGUGACCAGACUUGCGCCGGGCAGAUCAUCCGGUGUUCUCACCGGUGCACUCUGCCCGGCUCAGGCCAGCAUCGGUUCUCGUGGGGGGAUAAAGGUCCCGGGAACGUAGCUCCUCCGGGAGUGUUAUAGCCCGGGGCGUAAUGCCCUCGUGGGGACCGAGGUUCGCGCAUCUGCAAGGAUGCUGGGCGUAAUGGUCAUCAGCGACCCCGUCUUGAAACACGGACCAAGGAGUCAAGGUUUUGCGCGAGUGUUUGGGUGUAAAACCCGCACGCGUAAUGAAAGUGAACGUAGGUGAGAGCUUCGGCGCAUCAUCGACCGAUCCUGAUGUAUUCGGAUGGAUUUGAGUAAGAGCGUUAAGCCUUGGACCCGAAAGAUGGUGAACUAUGCUUGGAUAGGGUGAAGCCAGAGGAAACUCUGGUGGAGGCUGGCAGCGGUUCUGACGUGCAAAUCGAUCGUCAAAUCUGAGCAU
rnacentral:rRNA from 2 species